rnacentral:rRNA from 1 species
UACGUAGGGGGCGAGCGUUGUCCGGAGUUACUGGGCGUAAAGGGCACGCAGGCGGUCGCUUACGUUUGGGGUGACAGCUCCCGGCUUAACCGGGAGAGGGCCUUGAACACGGGGCGACUUGAGGGCCAGAGAGGGACACAGAAUUCCGGGUGUAGUGGUGAAAUGCGUAGAUAUCCGGAGGAAUACCAAAGGCGAAGGCAGUGUCCUGGAAGGCUUCUGACGCUGAGGUGCGAAAGCUAGGGGAGCGAACGG